GAUGAAGAACGCAGCGAAAUGCGAUAAGUAAUGUGAAUUGCAGAAUUCAGUGAAUCAUCGAAUCUUUGAACGCACAUUGCGCCCGCCAGUAUUCUGGCGGGCAUGCCUGUUCGAGCGUCAUUUCAACCAUCAAGCCCCCGGCUUGUGUUGGGGACCCUGCGGCUGCCCGCAGGCCCUGAAAACCAGUGGCGGGCUCGCUGUCACUCCGAGCGUAGUAGCAUAUAUCUCGCUCAGGGCGUGCUGCGGGUUCCGGCCGUUAAAAGCCUUUUUUUUACCCAAGGUUGACCUCGGAUCAGGUAGGAAGACCCGCUGAACUUAAGCAUAUCAAUAAGCGGAGGA
rnacentral:misc_RNA from 1 species